GGAUUCCUACUUAGAAUAUGAUUCGUAGAAGUCUGAUAGUCAACUUUAAAGACCACGCAAUAGUACGUAUCUAGUAGGAUAGUGAUUACGGGUAUCGAUCCACAGAAAUUGGGUUAUAGUUGUUUUUUUAAAAAUAUUUGAAAAAGAGAAUUUGUGAAGACUAUUAAACUAAGCAAUUUAAUAAGAAAUGCAAUUAAAAUGAUAUCAGUUUGGGGGGAACCUAGGGCAAG
rnacentral:lncRNA from 1 species